GAUUCCCACUGUCCCUACCUACUAUCUAGCGAAACCACAGCCAGGGAACGGGCUUGGCACAAUUAGCGGGGAAAGAAGACCCUGUUGAGCUUGACUCUGGCAUAGACGCGAGGUGAUUCUAAAGGUGUAGCAUAGGUGGGAGGGCCCAUGCCCGUCAAUGAAAUACCACCACUUUCGACAUCGCUUUGCUAAUGCUGUAACGAACGAACGGAACCGCGUCCCUCUCACCGUAAAAGGUGGGGGAAGGGAUAGGCAAUCCAAAUUCUAGCGCUUUCCGCGCUCAUACGACGAGUUGGCUCCCCUGGGUGAGUACCGUGGAACCACGAGCUGGGCUUCCGAGUCCGGCGAGUGCUGUUUCCGCGGGAACCAGAGACGGUCUUCUCGGCCUCUGUGGGCUUCAUGCCGGUACGUAAUUGCGUGUAGCAGACUAUCUAUGUUGGGGAGUUUGGCUGGGGCGGAAAACUGCUACACGGCAACGGCAGUCUCCUAAGGUCCACUCAGAGACGACAGAAACGUCUCGUAGAGCAUAAAGGCAAAAGUGGGCUUAACUCGCAUUUUCAGUAGUAAUGUGAAGCAAGAAAUUGCGGCUUAACGAUCCUUAGCGGCGGGUGCCAGCCCACGCUUGAGGUGAGAGAAAAGUUACCACAGGGAUUGAUACACACACACAACGGUAACUAAUACGUUAACGAGUAACUAUGACGGAACGA
rnacentral:rRNA from 1 species